rnacentral:rRNA from 1 species
UACGGAGGGGGCUAGCGUUGUUCGGAAUUACUGGGCGUAAAGCGCACGUAGGCGGCUUUGUAAGUUAGAGGUGAAAGCCCAGGGCUUAACCCUGGAAUUGCCUUUAAGACUGCAUCGCUAGAAUCGUGGAGAGGUAAGUGGAAUUCCGAGUGUAGAGGUGAAAUUCGUAGAUAUUCGGAAGAACACCAGUGGCGAAGGCGGCUCUCUGGGACGGUACUGACGCUGAGACGCGAAAGCGUGGGGAGCGAACAGG